GGGAGGUGCGAGCGGUGUUAGCGAUUACAAACCCCGCUGAGGAGCGGCCGGACACGCGCCGCGCCGACCCGCCGGGGCACAGGAAUUACUGUAAUUAUAAGAGAGAACCUGAAUUACAAUGGGGGAUGACAGUGAGUGGAUGAAGCUGCCCAUUGACCAGAAAUGUGAGCACAAGCUAUGGAAAGCCAGAUUAAAUGGUUAUGAAGAAGCCCUUAAGCUCCUCCAGAAGAUAGAUGAUGAAAAGAGUCCUGAAUAGUCCAAGUAUCUUGGAUUGAUAUAAAAGUUUGUGACAGGCUCCAAUGCAGUGGCUCAGUUGAAAGGACUGGAAGCAGCACUUGCUUAUGUUGAAAAUGCACAUGUAGCUGGGAAGACUACAGGAGAAGUAGCUUCUGGAGUUGUAAAUAAAGUGUUCAAUCAGCCAAAAGCCAGAGCAAAAGAGCUGGGUCUAGAUAUAUGUCUAAUGUAUAUAGAAAUUGAGAAAGGGGAAGCAGUACAAGAAGAAUUGCUAAAGGGUCUGGACAACAAAAGCCCAAAAAUCAUAGAAGCAUGUAUAGAGACCCUGAGGAAAGCACUAAGUGAAUUUGGUUAAAAAAUAAUCUCACUGAAGCCAAUUAUUAAAGUACUGCCAAAACUUUGAGUCUUGGGAAAAGGCUGUUUGGGAUGAAGCCAAACUCCUUGCUGUGGAGAUCUAACGUUGGAUAAGGGAUGCUCUGAGACCUCCACUGCAGAAUAUCAAUUCUGUUCAG